AUUGAACGCUGGCGGCAGGCCUAACACAUGCAAGUCGAGCGGAUGAGGGAAGCUUGCUUCCCGAUUUAGCGGCGGACGGGUGAGUAAUGCCUAGGAAUCUGCCUAUUAGUGGGGGAUAACGUUCCGAAAGGAACGCUAAUACCGCAUACGUCCUACGGGAGAAAGUGGGGGAUCUUCGGACCUCACGCUAAUAGAUGAGCCUAGGUCGGAUUAGCUAGUUGGUGGGGUAACGGCUCACCAAGGCGACGAUCCGUAGCUGGUCUGAGAGGAUGAUCAGCCACACUGGAACUGAGACACGGUCCAGACUCCUACGGGAGGCAGCAGUGGGGAAUAUUGGACAAUGGGCGAAAGCCUGAUCCAGCCAUGCCGCGUGUGUGAAGAAGGUCUUCGGAUUGUAAAGCACUUUAAGUUGGGAGGAAGGGUUGUAAGCUAAUAUCUUGCAGCUUUGACGUUACCAACAGAAUAAGCACCGGCUAACUCUGUGCCAGCCGCCGCGGUAAAAC
rnacentral:rRNA from 1 species